rnacentral:sRNA from 1 species
GCAGGGCAUGGUAGCACAUGCCUGUAAUCCCAGCAGCUCAGGAGGCUGAGGCAGGAGGAUCACAGGUUCAAAGCCAGCCGCAGCAAUUCAGCAAGGCUGUAGGCAAUGUAGUGAGACCCUGUCUCAA